CCUACGGGUGGCAGCAGUGGGGAAUAUUGCGCAAUGGGCGAAAGCCUGACGCAGUGACGCCGCGUGAGGGAUGAAGGUCUUCUGAACGUAAACCUCUGUCAGCAGGGAAGAACGGUCCCUGUGCUAAUCAGCCGUGCAUUGACGUUACCUGCAAAGGAAGCACCGGCUCACUCCGUGCCCGCAGCCGCGGUAAUACGGCGGGGGCGAGCGUUAAUCGGAAUUACUGGGCGUAAAGCGCUCGUAGGCGGUAUGUCAAGUCACGGGUGAAAUCCCCGCGCUCAACGUGGGAACUGCCUUUGAAACUGGGAAGCUGGAGUGUGUGAGAGGAUAGUGGAAUUCCAGGUGUAGGAGUGAAAUGCGUAGAUAUCUGGAGGAACAUCAGUGGCGAAGGCGACUAGCUGGAACAUAACUGACGCUGAGGAGCGAAAGCGUGGGUAGCAAACAGGAUUAGAUACCCCUGUAGUC
rnacentral:rRNA from 1 species